rnacentral:rRNA from 1 species
AUGGAAAAUAAUCAGUCUGAAGAAGCUGGUGUGAAGGGAGUGAAAGCAGUGCCAAGAAGGGAUCCUAGUGAAAAAAGUACCACUAAAGACAUUAGUGCAAGGAAGGUGGACAAAGAAAAUGAUGUGAAGCACGAUGAAUACCAGGAGGAGGGUGGAGGCACUAGUGCAAAUCAUGUGACCGUGACCACAGAAGAGAGCAUUGAUAGAAAGAAGCGAACAGAAGAUUUUUGUUUGAAGGAGAUAAAUGGUGAUGAUUCUGAGAAGCUAACCGAAGAGAGUCUCAUAGAGAUCAAUGCAGUACAUGACCCUGAAGUCAAUAAGCUUGCUGAUAAUACUGGUGCAAAGGAAGAGAGUGAAGGGUCCAGCAGAGAAAAUGUGAUGGACAAUAAUCCAGCUGAAGAAGCUGGUGCGAAUGGAGUGAGAACAUUACCAAGAGUGGAGAAUCUUGGUGAUAACAGUAUGCCCAAGGACACUAAAGUUAUUAUUAAGAGAUACAGACGUAGCAAGUGGUCCUGGCGCCAUUUAUUUGCGGCCCAUGCGGUGCAGUGA